CAGGCCUAACACAUGCAAGUCGAGCGGGCCUUUCGGGGUCAGCGGCGGACGGGUGAGUAACGCGUGGGAACGUGCCCUCUGGUUCGGAACAACUCCUGGAAACGGGAGCUAAUACCGGAUACGCCCUUUUGGGGAAAGGCUUGCUGCCGGAGGAUCGGCCCGCGUCUGAUUAGCUUGUUGGUGGGGUAACGGCCUACCAAGGCGACGAUCAGUAGCUGGUCUGAGAGGAUGAUCAGCCACACUGGGACUGAGACACGACCCAGACUCCUACGGGAGGCAGCAGUGGGGAAUAUUGGACAAUGGGCGCAAGCCUGAUCCAGCCAUGCCGCGUGAGUGAUGAAGGCCUUAGGGUUGUAAAGCUCUUUUAUCCGGGACGAUAAUGACGGUACCGGAGGAAUAAGCCCCGGCUAACUUCGUGCCAGCAGCCGCGGUAAU
rnacentral:rRNA from 1 species